GAUGAACGCUCGCUACAGGCUUAACACAUGCAAGUCGAGGGGAAACGGCAUUAAGUGCUUGCACUUUUUGGACGUCGACCGGCGCACGGGUGAGUAACGCGUAUCCAACCUUCCCAUGACUAAGGGAUAACCUGCCGAAAGGCAGACUAAUACCUUAUGGUCUUCACUGACGGCAUCAGAUGUGAAGUAAAGAUUUAUCGGUUAUGGAUGGGGAUGCGUCUGAUUAGCUUGUUGGCGGGGUAACGGCCCACCAAGGCAACGAUCAGUAGGGGUUCUGAGAGGAAGGUCCCCCACAUUGGAACUGAGACACGGUCCAAACUCCUACGGGAGGCAGCAGUGAGGAAUAUUGGUCAAUGGGCGAGAGCCUGAACCAGCCAAGUAGCGUGCAGGAUGACGGCCCUAUGGGUUGUAAACUGCUUUUGUAUGGGGAUAAAGUCAAUCACGUGUGAUUGUUUGCAGGUACCAUACGAAUAAGGACCGGCUAAUUCCGUG
rnacentral:rRNA from 1 species